GAGAAGAUGGCUCAGUGGUAGAGUGCUUGCCUUGCAUGCAUGAGGCCCUCCUUUCA
rfam:Dipodomys ordii contig_55025, whole genome shotgun sequence.